AGUGAACGCUGGCGGUAGGCCUAACACAUGCAAGUCGAACGGCAGCACAGUAAGAGCUUGCUCUUACGGGUGGCGAGUGGCGGACGGGUGAGGAAUACAUCGGAAUCUACUUUUUCGUGGGGGAUAACGUAGGGAAACUUACGCUAAUACCGCAUACGACCUACGGGUGAAAGCAGGGGAUCUUCGGACCUUGCGCGAUUGAAUGAGCCGAUGUCGGAUUAGCUAGUUGGCGGGGUAAAGGCCCACCAAGGCGACGAUCCGUAGUUGGUCUGAGAGGAUGACCAGCCACACUGGAACUGAGACACGGUCCAGACUCCUACGGGAGGCAGCAGUGGGGAAUAUUGGACAAUGGGCGCAAGCCUGAUCCAGCCAUACCGCGUGGGUGAAGAAGGCCUUCGGGUUGUAAAGCCCUUUUGUUGGGAAAGAAAAGCAGCAGGUUAAUACCCCGCUGUUCUGACGGUACCCAAAGAAUAAGCACCGGCUAACUUCGUG
rnacentral:rRNA from 1 species